CAGUGUGCAGUGAAUGCGUUGAGAUCUGAGAACACGAUGCGAAGCAGCCCCUGGCUAGCACUGACGCUGAUACAGAAAGCGUCGGGAGCAACAGAUAGAUACCUUGUAGUCCACGCCCUAACGAUGCAACUAGUUGUGGAGGAUGACCUCCUUUAGUAACGCAGCUAACGCGUGAAGUUGCCCGCCUUGGGAGUACGGUCGCAAGAUUAAAACUCAAAGGAAUUGACGGGGGCCCGCACAAGCGGUGGAUGAUGUGGUUCAAUUCGAUGCAACGCGAAAAACCUUACCUACCCUUGACAUGCCAGGAAGCCCGAUGAAAGUCGGGUGUGCCCGAAAGGGAACCUGGACACAGGUGCUGCAUGGCUGUCGUCAUCUCGUGUCGUGAGAUGUUGGGUUAAGUCCCGCAACGAGCGCAACCCUUGUCAUUAGUUGCUACGUUCAGUUGGGCACUCUAAUGAGACUGCCGGUGACAAACCGGAGGAAGGUGGGGACGACGCCAAGUCCUCAUGGCCCUUAUGGGUAGGGCCACACACGUCAUACAAUGGCGCAUACAGAGGGGAGCCAACCCGCGAGGGGGAGCAAAUCCCAGAAAGUGCGUCGUAGUCCGGAUUGAAGUCUGCAACUCGACUUCAUGAAGUCGGAAUCGCUAGUAAUCGCGGAUCAGCAUGUCGCGGUGAAUACGUUCCCGGGCCUUGUACACACCGCCCGUCACACCAUGGGAGUGGGUUUCACCAGAAGCAGGUAGCCUAACCGCAAGGGGGGCGCCUACCACGGUGAGAUUCAUGACUGGGGUGAAGUCGUAACAAGGUAACCA
rnacentral:rRNA from 1 species